rnacentral:tRNA from 1 species
GCGAGAGUGGCGAAAUUGGUAGACGCACCAGACUUAGGAUCUGGCGCGGCAACGCAUCGGGGUUCGAGUCCCCGCUCUCGCACCA